AUACGGAGGGUGCAAGCGUUAUCCGGAAUCAUUGGGUUUAAAGGGUCCGCAGGCGGAUUAAUAAGUCAGUGGUGAAAUCCUCCCGCUCAACGGGAGAACUGCCAUUGAAACUGUUAGUCUUGAAUUCGGUCGAAGUGGGCGGAAUAUGUCAUGUAGCGGUGAAAUGCAUAGAUAUGACAUAGAACACCGAUAGCGAAGGCAGCUCACUAGACCUGGAUUGACGCUCAGGGACGAAAGCGUGGGGAGCGAACAGGAUUAGAAACCCCAGUAGUCC
rnacentral:rRNA from 1 species